rnacentral:rRNA from 1 species
UUUAAAGUCUAACCUGCCCAAUGAAUUAUUUGAAUGGCCGCGGUAUUUUGACCGUGCUAAGGUAGCAUAAUAAUUAGUUUUUUAAUUGGAAACUGGAAUGAAUGGUUGAACGAGGGAAAAUCUGUCUCAAUUUAAUUUUAUUAGAAUUUUAUUUUUAAGUAAAAAAGCUUAAAUAAUUUUAAAAGACGAGAAGACCCUAUAGAGUUUUAUAUUUUAUUUUAAGUUAAAUUAUUAGAAUUAUUAGUUUGAUUUAAUAUAACGUAUUUUGUUGGGGUGACAAAAAAAUUUAAUAAACUUUUUUUAUAUAAUAUCAUUGAUAUAUGAAUAAGUGAUCCAUUUUUUAUGAUUAUAAGAUUAAAUUACCUUAGGGAUAACAGCGUAAUUUUUUUUAAGAGUUCUUAUCGAAAAAAGAGAUUGCGACCUCGAUGUUGGAUUAAAAU